AUUAAUUCUCUCAAAAAAGCCCUCGAUCUGUAUAAGACUCGAUCCCCAAAUCCCCCCGAUUCACAAAACAAAAACCAAAUCCCUAAACGUAGGUAGGCGGCGGCGGCGGCGGCGACAGUGGAAUUCUUUGGUCGCUAACCGGCGACGAGCAGUUGAAUGAGAGUAGGAGGCCAGGGUGCGGCGGGAGUACUCGCGCAGCGAUGUGAACUCUUUCUCUGCUCCCCCUUCUCCUCUGCUACUAGGCGAGAUGGGUGGCGCCGACGUUCCGAAGCGCGACGACGAGGAAUGGAAGCAGACGGCGGUGUACAACCGGGGAUCAAAGAGAAGCGCUCAGGAUGAGGAGAUGCCGGGAUUGGACUUGAGAAGGAGGCCGAGAAGCAUGCUGAUAAAGAGAAGCACAAGAUGGAGAAGAAGGUCAUUGCUAGGAUCAACACGGAGCAAAUUAUAUGCAGAGAUAGGAUGCUACUGUUUGUAAUCAGUAUGUGUGCUAGCUUGUGUGUCAUCCUGUUUGCAGUAGCAGGAAAGUCGUAGAAGUGGGAUGAUGUUUGCAAUACGAGGAAAUGAGUUUGUAUUAUGAACAUGAUCUAUGUGUAAAUGGCAAAUGAUA
rnacentral:rRNA from 1 species